CAUAGGUGUUGGCAACAUGACAGGCAUUUCGCUAAUGCUGGAUACCGUUAGUAAAGUAAAAUAAACAAAAGUACGUAUAUAAAAAUUGAAAAAUAAAAGCCAAUUAAAUAUAACAACGCCACGUGAGCUGACUGACGUCAGACGCUGUCACCGUCCGUCCGGCGGUUAGCAUUUGUGUUUUGAAACAACGGCAAUUUGUCAGGAGUUCAUACAACGUUUUUAUGAAGUGUGGUGAAUCAAGGGAAGAGCAGCAACUGGACCUCGUCGGUGGUGCAACUGGAAUCCAGACUCUCUUCGAGGGAAAAUUCCCCCUUUCUCCGUUUCCCAUCGGCUGGCUUGUAACUCAGAAAGACUUCUUUCCUUAUGAAUGAAGCAAGAUGAAGAGGAGACAGUAGGGUGUCACUGAAGGUAACCGAAGUGAAGGUGUUGUUACAGGGGUUGGACCGUGUGCUUUUCCAACUCUGGCAACUGCCAACAAACAAGUCUCCGGGUGUCCGUGUGGGUCUGAAGCUCAGCACUCGUCUUCUGCUUCUCUGAUGGGUGGAAUCAAGCUGCUUGUUGAUUUAAACUGAGUGACUUGGUUGAUGGUGAGAGUAUUCACAGGCUUGAUCUGUAUGGUCCUCUGGUAAAAUGGAGACCUUUGGAAAAUUGUGAAGAGUCUCCCACUCCCGCUUCAGAUACUCGAGGGAGCCGACGAACACAAUGUGCUUCAGCUCAUGGUAGUGAAAGUUGCUCGCUCUCAGAGGCAUGACAAAGU